UACGUAGGUGGCAAGCGUUAUCCGGAAUUAUUGGGCGUAAAGAGCGCGCAGGUGGUUAAUUAAGUCUGAUGUGAAACCCCACGGCUUAACCGUGGAGGGUCAUUGGAAACUGGUUGACUUGAGUGCAGAAGAGGGAAGUGGAAUUCCAUGUGUAGCGGUGAAAUGCGUAGAGAUAUGGAGGAACACCAGUGGCGAAGGCGGCUUCCUGGUCUGCAACUGACACUGAGGCGCGAAAGCGUGGGGAGCAAACAGG
rnacentral:rRNA from 1 species